UAUUGAUGACUUUGCAAACUUAUCAGGAGGUGGUGUUAGGAAAUCUAAACAGUUUAAACUAUAUAGGAAGACAUUUAUAGGUUAGAAACAAUCUGUUCUACUUCUGCAGAUUAUCUAGAUAAGUGAUGAAGUUUACUUAGUAUAGUAUUUUUUUUCUGUCACUUCUUUAUCUACCGAAAGUGUGAACCCAUGGUAUGAGCCACUAAUGCAAGCAUCGUCAUUCUUUUCUGAGUUUGUCUAAUUCACAUCUAAAUGUUUUCUAAGGAUGUCACAUCUAAGCUCCCACAAAUAACGCAGCAACAAGGAACAAAAAAAAAGCUGGGGCAAAAAAAAAUACACCACAAACAUAGUGGACACAAGGUUAGACGUGACAUAAAUGUGUCCUAGACAGACCCUUCUUUUCUUAGUGAAACAUCAACUUUCCAAAGACAAUAUUCCAAACUGGACAGUUGAUACAUAGAGCUAUUUUACUUUAACAUUUAAAGUGUGGCUGCAAAUCUGGGAUGCAGGAGGUGAAAAUUCAUUGUCUAAUCUGUUUCUCAGUUUCCUCUUUCAGAAACGAGAGAUUUUUCAAGACCUUGCUCCACUGCUGUGGCACUCCUUUGGCACUGUUGCUGCACUGCUCCAGCUCACAUCCCACUGUACCUGUACCCGUUCCUGAAUACUACCAGCAAGACAAGACCUUUUGAGUACUUGAGGCUUACCAGCUUGGGUGUUAUUGGUGCUCUUGUGAAGGUAAAUUAAAACUAGAUACUUAUGCAAACUAGGAAUGGAUGGUCCAUAUAGAUUUUUGCUUUAAAUGGUGAGAGGGUUGUUGAACCAGAGGGGAAAACAGUGAUGGGGAUUGGCUGUAUUCUUUCUUUUUUUUGUAGACUAUAUCUUGUUCUUUUGGUAUUCUCAUUCCAGUAAUCCAGUCAUUUUAAUCAAAUGGACUGGUUGGGAUUGGAUCCCAGGAAUCUCAACAGGAACUGUUAUUUUUGAAGCAAACAGGCUAAUGAUUUGUUAGAAAUUAUAUUGUUUCUUCUUUUGGAUA